AAGCUCCGAGCGUGUGUGAGCGGUACGGAUCGGAAACAUGAAGUGAAGAAACCAAGGGUUCUGCCUGGGAAAUCGCCUGUGCAUAAUGAGACGACCUGCUCUGCCAUUCUCAAUGCUUCGACGCUGUUGGUUCCAGCGUAAAGGGUGGGGAUAGUGUAUCAUUACACCGUUUUCAACCAUCCCGCAACCAUCCUACAACCAUUCUCAAUAUGACAAAGCACCUUCAAUGAAUCCAGGCAUGUCUAUAUUUAUUUAUAGACCACUCAGGCUUUUAUGUGCUCUUUAGUAGAGCUCAUACUCUGUGACCCAUUUUUGCAUUAAAUUCGAUGGGGGAAUUCUUUUCAGUCUCCGAAAUGUGGACAAUUUCACUCAUAUUGUCGGACUGUCUUCUUUGUUGCAUUUUUUUCAUUGCAAAUACUCAGAAUAAAUGUAUGUUAACUGGCUAAAUGUAUCAUUAGGAUUAAUUAUGUUAUUUUAAUGUUAAGUGAGACAAACCUUGGUUGUAAAUGUCAAAUAAAAGUCUGAAUUCUGAGUUCCCAUGAAUCUCAGUGCCAUAAUGUUGUACAAUUGGAACAAAUAAACCAAGAAAUGCCAUAGCCAUGUCUCAUUGUCUCAAUGUCAUGUUGUCCAUAUUGUGUUAUAUUUGUAGAAUGUCAAUGACGCCACACAUUCAUUUAGUCAUUAUCUGGUGAAAGGUUGGUAAAUAUUAUGUAAACUAUUAAAUUAAUGAUUCUGUUUUCAUAUACAAAAUAUCUGUCUUCAUUUUGGGUCUACCAUGUUUAAGUAUCAAGGUGAAGGGCAUAUGGAAAUAAAUGGACAAACACAAUGAAGUCACAGGGCCUAUGGAGAGCAAUGGACAAACACAAUGAAGUCACACCAAAACAUCGGGAUAACUAAGAAAGCCAGUAACUUUACUGAAUUCUCUGCAAAAUACAAAUACCUUUCCUCAGCAGAAUAAACUUUUAUUUCAGGUUCCAUGCUUUUUCACUACAUACAGCUGAAUCAAGUCCCGAGAGAUACAGAGAUGUGGUUUUAAUUGAAUAACAUCGUAUCUUGCGACAAAGGCCAGCUUAUGCCGCUGAAAGCCGCUCUUGCGUCCCAAACACUAAUUUCAGACCGCCACAAUUUUCAGAUUUAUACAAGCUACAUUAGAUACUACAGACUGGUAAGUAUUUUUAGCUAUUCACACACACACACACACACACACACACACACACACACACACACACACACACACACACACACACACACACACACACACACACACACACACACACACACACACACACACACACACACACACACACACACACACACACACACACACACACACUUUUAUAUAUAUUUAAUGGAUACAACUAAAAUAAAGAAAACCGCAAACAAUGUAAAUCAAUCAAAGAAUCCCAAGUGAAUAGUUGGGACCUUAUACCACAUGACUGUACACGUGUAUGGUUUUCCCUUUGCACUAGAAGUAGCUGAUCAACAGGUUAGCUGAGGUACUGGGUGGGUCAGUUAGAGGUACCAGUAUAUAUAAGUUAAUACAGGAUAAUGACAUUACAACUGAUCAACAGGUGAAGAAAUACAACGGCUUUAAAUCCACAACCAAAAUAAAAUAUGAAAUAAAAUCAAGCUCAAUGUCUUUGGUUACACAAUAUCAAGAAACACCACCUACACCUCAGAAAACACAGGACAGGUAAAAAGGGAGAUUUUGGUGUUGUGUUUUUUUGUAAAGUAACCAGCUAAAUGAACAAAAAUAGGGUUUGGAAAACAUGCUUUUCCAUGAUACACACAAUGAAUAUACUCCCAAUUACACAUAUUUGUUAUAUGAUUUGAAAUGCAGUUCAACAGGAAAUGUCUUCUGAAAAUAUGAAAUUAACCAAUUCCAUAUGACACUAUAUAGUUAGCAAUCACCAUGUAUUAAGAAGGACUUGCAAUGGUACUCCAAACCUCUACCCGUUUAACAUAUAUGAGGAACAUUAUGAAGUCUGACCGAAUUGAAAUGGAAAUGGGAAACCAAUUGUACAUUUUGAGUAAAUGCUUUUAUUGUUUUUGUCAAUGCUUGCAAUAACCAUAAAUGAAUGUGAAAAUAAAAGUUGAAUAAUAUUACAACACAGAAAUGCCACUGGCUUUGGUUUCUCCACACAUACGCUGCCUGAAAUAUCAUGUUUAAAAAAAAAAAAAUUGUAUUGGAAAAAAAAAGAAAGAACAGCAUAGGGGCUCUGCCCCUGUUUCUGACUACACAGACUGCAUACAGUAA